AUUGAACGCUGGCGGAAUGCUUUACACAUGCAAGUCGAGCGGCAGCACGGGGGCAACCCUGGUGGCGAGCGGCGAACGGGUGAGUAACACAUCGGAACAUGCCCAGUCGUGGGGGAUAAUACUUCGAAAGAAGUGCUAAGACCGCAUACGUCCUGAGGGAGAAAGCGGGGGAUCGCAAGACCACGCGCGAUUGGAGUGGCCGAUGUCAGAUUAGGUAGUUGGUGGGGUAAAGGCUCACCAAGCCAACGAUCUGUAGCUGGUCUGAGAGGACGACCAGCCACACUGUAACUGAGACACGGCCCAGACUCCUACGGGAGGCAGCAGUGGGGAAUUUUGGACAAUGGGCGCAAGCCUGAUCCAGCAAUGCCGCGUGCAGGAAGAAGGCCUUCGGGUUGUAACCUGCUUUUGUACGGAACGAAACGGUCCUGGUUAAUACCUGGUGCUAAUGACGGUACCGUAAGAAUAAGCACCUGCUAACUACGUGCCAGCCGCCGCUGUAACAC
rnacentral:rRNA from 1 species